rnacentral:rRNA from 1 species
AGAGUUUGAUCAUGGCUCAGGACGAGCGCUGGCGGCGCGCUUAAUACAUGCAAGUCGAGCGAGAACCAGUCCUUCGGGACUGGGGAAAGCGGCGAACGGGUGAGUAACACGUGGGUAAUCUGCCCUCGGCACUGGGAUAGCCCGGGGAAACCCGGAUUAAUACCGGAUAGCCUUUCGAGCCUUCGGGCUCGUCAGAAAAGGUGGCCUCGGCUUCCGGCUGAGGAUGAGCCCGCGGCGGAUUAGCUUGUUGGUGAGGUAAUGGCUCACCAAGGCUCCGAUCUGUAGCUGGUCUGAGAGGACGAUCAGCCACACUGGGACUGAGACACGGCCCAGACUCCUACGGGAGGCAGCAGUGGGGAAUAUUGGACAAUGGGGGCAACCCUGAUCCAGCCAUGCCGCGUGAGUGAUGAAGGCCCUUGGGUUGUAAAGCUCUUUUGUGCGGGAAGAUAAUGACGGUACCGCAAGAAUAAGCCCCGGCUAACUUCGUGCCAGCAGCGGCGGUAAUUC